UAACACCUCCUCAUGGUCUCACCCAGUCAAGCCUACCCUACUGCCUUUGGACUACACCAUGCUCCUCAGAUCACCCACCGGGACAUCUUCUGGCUCUCUCACAUGUUACCUGACACCCCAGGUCCCCACCUCCCGUAGUGCUCCUCCGGACUGGUUCCAGCAAUGGCCUGUUUACCCUGGAAUCUGGAGGGCCUUUGGCCAGACUGAGACAGCAGCCUGAGGAAGGCAGCCUGGUCCUCCCUGCUGGUUUCUGUGGUUCUCAGCUCUAACGGUGUGAUGUACUUCCUCUGCUACACGAAUGCAGUAAGAGUUCCCCGCUCCCUCACCUGGGACAGAAAAAUACAUCGCCAAGCAAAAUGCUGAAGACUCUGGACAGGCUGCCAGAAAUGUUAGAGGUCCUGUCUUGACACUGCAGUUAUCCUGGCACAACAGAGACAGGUCAGGCACAAACACCCAAGACCCAAGAGGAGAGAAUAUACAAGCCUGGCCUCUCCAGUCAGCAUGUUUCCAGUAGCUCCUCUUUCGUGCAUAAAGCUAACACUCUGGUCGGUAUCAGAAGAACUUGCCAUCCAUGAAAAUGACUUAAUUUCUGAAGUUUCUGCAAAACCUUGAGAUUCAAAGGAAGACAAGAGACUUCGAACAGUAGCCACAGCUCAGGAAACCCCGGAAGCCAGGUGGAAGAGGUGGAGAGGAGCGGGAAGUUAAGCACAAGACGCAGGUGCCCAGGUUAGCCAUGUUUGCCUGGUGUUCUCAGUAUCUAUGCCCUGGCUUCCUGCAUUGUUCAUCGGGCUUUAGUUCUUUCUCAACAAACCACGAUCGGGACCAUUUUAUCCUGUGAAUGUCCCCCAGAGAUUAAACAAACCAAAGAUCCUGCAGUAGUGACUGCCUGGCAAGACUUUGCAAAUAGCAGCCACCGCUUCUCUGACCCUCUCUGCCCCCAUUUCUAAGGCACACUUGGCUUUGCUUCCUUAAAUAGCGGGAGGAGUGACCCAACGGACUCAGUGUCAAAGCUCACACCUAACCGAUUCCUGCAGGUUCCUUUCCCAGCCACUGUUCGCCAGCUCUGUGGAAUGGCCAGCACCAACUGAAGGCACAGACAACCGACAUCCUCAAACAAAUUAAUAAUCUUGAAGUCACAGGAGCAGGCUGUAUUCAAGUUUCCCAAAGAACACUGAAGACUAUCAAGGUGUACGUGCGUUAAAUGGACAUCACAUUGGUAGUGAUGAACUACAAGUUAACAGUAAACUUGGGUGUAGAUGGUCUUCAUAGAGGACCAGCCACCCUCCUGAUUGACUUCAGAGAAGCCAGUACACGGGCAGACUCUGAGCAGCCAUUCCCAUCAGCAGAGGCAACCGGGUGGUAAAACGUAGAACUGUAGGGAAAGGCUCUUCAAUGGACAGUCAUCUUAUAAAAAUCUCACAACGGGACUGGAGGGAAAGUAUUCCAUUUGUGUGACAUUCAUGUGAGGCUGCAGGCAGGGAGCCCAACUUCUCUGCACACCAGGACUGUGAGGAAGGGACCCAAGGACUCAGUCCCUUGCCAGGUCACCUCCCAAGCUAUGUCACCCCCUGGACUGCUCACCCCCUGGGCAGCUUGCCCUCUGGCCUUUCAAAACAUGCUCACCCAUCUAAUCAAAUGUCUUCAGUGUCCUCAAAUAAAGUUCAAAGCUUACGGGAGCCCAGAAGGGCCAUGUCCAACCAGGUACCUGCCUCUGGCAUCCUCCCCAGCGUACUCUGGAAACUCUCUUACCAUUGCAUCCCUUUUGGUUCUUUGGAUUCCUCAAGCCUGGAACCUGACUACCAACUAGCCUGCAAACUCCUACCUUACCUACCCUGGCUACACAUUCCUACAAGUCCUAAGGCUUCUUUGCAAAUCCUCCCCUGUCCCAACUUGAACCUGUAAGCCCUACUCUCCUUCCCUGUGUACUUUAACACUCUCUCCUGCCAUGAAUAAACACCCCAGCAGAGCUGUCUCUGAGGUCUUCAUACCUCUUCUACCAACCUCGUCAGGCAGGGAGUGAGUUAACCCAACGCUCAAACCCAAUGAAGGGAGCACCUGGCACCAGAACCAAAUAACAAAGCUAAUGAGCCCUGAGCGUUCCAGACCGCCAGCCAAGCCAGUCCGUGACCCUCCUUAGGGUUUGACAAGGCCCCCAAAAUGCUGCUUCAUGUUACCAAUGGGUAGAUGAGUCACCCGCACAGCCAGUGCCAAAACCACUCUCAGGAGACAGGCCAAAAAAAUAUUCCACCCAUCAAUUGGUUUUCCUCUCCUGCCAGACUGGCGAAGUCCUGUGACACUGAACUGCAGUCUGGAGGGAGAACUGGCCUGGCCAUCAGCAGCCGGGGACCAGGAACUUCUCUCAAUGAACUCAGAGGUUCCCGAAGUCAAGCCGGCACCUUUCCCUGUGCUAAAUAAAUCACAAUGCAGUCUUUCUGAUAGCAUGCCCAUAAAUCUCCCCAGAUUCUACAGCAUAACCCGAGGAGCUCGAGACCUUGGAUCUCGACCCUGCAGACAAGGAAGUCACCACUUGCCCCCUUCCUAGGGGCAACCGUCAAACAUGGUGGGAAGUGCUUCAUAGAUUUUAAACAGAAUAAAAGUAAGAGUCAUUGUAAGGGAAGCUUAUACUGAAAGAUGCAUAUGUUUAUGAGGUGCUCCCUGAACACAGCUUAGGAUCAUACUGUGGUUACACGGUAAACAUGGUCCCCUCACUCUAGAGAAGGAGGCAAGAGACUCCCCGUGAGUUCAAGACCAACGUAGUCUAUUCACGGCUACAUACUGAGACCCUGUCUCAAUCAAUAUAAAAUGUGCACAUGAUGAACCUCAACACAAACCUGGCGUCAACGGCAGGAAUGCAAAUCCUAUUGACCAACCUGAAAACAUCAACUUCAGACAAGCAGCUUAAAGAACACAACACAACAAACAAACAAACAAACAGAAACCCCACAAAAGUGUUUGUUCAAAAAAGAUCCCUGUAGCCAGCCGCACCCUUGAAUCUCGACACACAUUAAACCAUGUGAAUGGCUCCAUCAACCGGUGUGGGGACCACUGCUGAUGUGAACGAACUUCCUCCCUUUUAGCACCCUCUUUUGUUCUAAAAGGAACACGUAGUUAUUGAAUAAUAAUGUGAAUUCAGUGCAGAAACAGACUUUUGGUUUGGGAGAGGUGAUAAUAUUUAGAAAAAUAUUUUAAAAUAUUUAAAAAGCAUCCGUCUUGUCGACAACUCCUGCGUCUAUAAAGUACUCACAAUGGUGGCAGCAUGUUUCCCAAGCCGCAGCCAAGCAAGGCACAGAACCCUCUAAGGCAAGCUGCUUCCUACCUUCCUACGGUCUUUCUAUGCUUCAGGCAGAGCCGACCAGCCUAUGUCUGGGUCCUGGAGCACAAACUACAGUAUCUCCUCUCUCUUCUUCCUCUUCCUUAUCCCCCCCUCCUCUACCUCUAUCGGGCUCCUCCUCUUCCUCCUCCUCCCAGGAUCUUGAACAAAGGGCAAGGUAAACACACUUGCUCUUUAAAGGUCAUCUGGAAUGUCCAAAGAACCAAAACCCAGCACUCUGUUCGGAUGAUGAGACAUCCUGACCAAGUCACGCCUUCAACAGGUCACUGCCCUGACCACAAAAUGCUCCAUUUACCCAAUAUUUAAGAAUAAACUCCAGUACG